CAGAAUGCUUUCGAUGUGUCCUCACCUACUCUCCAAAUAAAGAAAAUAUCAUCGAUAUACCGGGCAUAGGACACCAGGCUUGCUCCGAGUACCUUAGUGGACCAGAUGAUCUCGGUCUCCCACAAUCCCAUAAAGAGAUUGCCGUAACUUAAAGCAAAGAUGGAUGCAGCCUUGAUCCCAGCAGUCUGAAAACCGAUGGCGGAAUCCUGACACAGCUAAGAAUGCCAAUACCGCUAUCCAGACAGUGAUUGAAAUGCCGGCGCCAGGAUCCCGGCCGCCGGAAUCCCGACGCAAGACUGCCGAACAGCUCACCAUGACAGCAGGAAGGAGAGCAGCACCGGCACACUGACAGACGGGGAGCGGGACUGAGAGACACCUACUGGGGUCACAUCACCACGUCGGUACUGGAAGAACUGAGCUUACUGGAUCGAUCAAGGGCCUGAUUCAGAGAGGGACGCAGUUUGGAUUGGUGCUGCAACUUCGGAUGCAGAGGAUCCUUGUUAUAUAUGCUAAUGCAGCAGGAGGUGUCUUUAGUAAAAUGAUGACCAUUGAUAGCUUUCUAAGAUCUGCUGGCUGUGACCAAAGAUCCCAUAUCCAUUGUAUCAACUGCAUGAACAUUGGGCGGCCAUCCGACAGCUCAGCAAAACCACACUAUUGGUGCUAGUGAUACUGCGUCUGCGGUCACAGCCAAUGGCUUCAGCUUGCCCCCAUUUUCUGUAAUGCUCCCCCCUUCCCAACACAACCCCCCGAACAGCCGCAGACUGUCGCUCACAUGAUUUCUGCAGCUGCAGCGUGUGCAACAUCGGAGGAUCAGAUCUACACACGCUCAGUGCGGACACUGUAUAUACGCAGAUAAAACCCAUCAGAUUUGUGAGAAUACAGAACUACCAUAAAUGUCUGAAUCAGGCCCUAAGGUGGAAAGACUAUGUACAUGAAAGCCUGGCAGCUUUUUUGGGGGUGAGAGAGGGUUAAGUGUUAACUAUAUAAGAGCUACUGUAUCUUAUGUACGCUGUCCAGAUGAUCUUUCUAACCUUUGCCUACCUAUACUGCAGCCGUUAAUGGUGCUGAGCACAUUAGGCUAUGAGGAUAUGUUCAUUUUGGGCUCCACUUUGUCUAAAACAGGAUUUCAGCCUAACUCACAUUUGUACAUAAACCCGAUGGUUUACGUACAUAUCCGAUGUUUAGGGGUCUGCACAGACGCAAAACCAAUUCUGUGCAUGUGCUGAAGGGAUCAUGUGAUAUUGCUUGCAGCCCUCUGUUAGCCGCAACAUGUUACCCCCGUUUUGUAGGUAUGCCAAGUCCAGGGUCUACGUCUACCCGGGUUUCUGAGUAAACAUUGCGAAUAGUGAUCCAAGGCUGGGAUCCAAAGCUGAUCUCGCAAAUGCAUGUAGGAGACAUCUAUCUCCUUCAGACACCUCCUGCUGCAAUGAAUUUUACUUGCAAAGCUGCUUCCCUACAGCUGUCUAAUUCCUACCAAAUCUGAAUUAGGCCCUUUGUGUGUACAUAA